rnacentral:rRNA from 1 species
UACGUAGGGUGCGAGCGUUGUCCGGAAUUAUUGGGCGUAAAGAGCUCGUAGGCGGUCUGUCGCGUCGAUCGUGAAAACUUGGGGCUUAACCCUGAGCUUGCGGUCGAUACGGGCAUGACUGGAGUUCGGCAGGGGAGACUGGAAUUCCUGGUGUAGCAGUGAAAUGCGUAGAUAUCAGGAGGAAUACCGAUGGCGAAGGCAGGUCUCUGGGCUGACACUGACGCUCAUGCACGAAAGCGUGGGGAGCAAACAGG